rnacentral:RNase_P_RNA from 1 species
GAAGCUGGCUGGGCGGUCGCUGCAUGUUUCGAUAUGUAGAGGAAAGUCCGGGCUCCGCAGAGCAGGAUGCCGGCUAACGGCCGGGCGCCGCAAGGCGACGGAAAGUGCAACAGAGAACAGACCGCCGAUGGCUUGCGUGUCGGGUGCGCUGCAAGGCGGACCGGCGCGGGAUCAGGCAAGGGUGAAACGGUGCGCGACACCGAAAGGUGCGCGGCAGCCCGCGCAAGCAGGCUGCGAGUAAGAGCCCACCGCGGACCUGGCAACAGGGACGGCACGGCAAACCCCAUCCGGAGCAAGGCCAAAUAGGGGG